rnacentral:rRNA from 1 species
GAUGAACGCUGGCGGCGUGCCUAAUACAUGCAAGUCGAGCGAACAGACGAGGAGCUUGCUCCUCUGACGUUAGCGGCGGACGGGUGAGUAACACGUGGAUAACCUACCUAUAAGACUGGGAUAACUUCGGGAAACCGGAGCUAAUACCGGAUAAUAUAUUGAACCGCAUGGUUCAAUAGUGAAAGACGGUUUUGCUGUCACUUAUAGAUGGAUCCGCGCUGCAUUAGCUAGUUGGUAAGGUAACGGCUUACCAAGGCGACGAUGCGUAGCCGACCUGAGAGGGUGAUCGGCCACACUGGAACUGAGACACGGUCCAGACUCCUACGGGAGGCAGCAGUAGGGAAUCUUCCGCAAUGGGCGAAAGCCUGGCGGAGCAACGCCGCGUGAGUGAUGAAGGUCUUCGGAUCGUAAAACUCUGUUAUUAGGGAAGAACAAAUGUGUAAGUAACUAUGCACGUCUUGACGGUACCUAAUCAGAAAGCCACGGCUAACUACGUG